AAUGGUUGAGUAAAUAAUGAAGAUUACGAUAAGUAUAAUAAGGAUGCGAAAAUAGUCUUCGCUUUCCAUUUAAAAUUUUCACUUUCGUACAACCUUGAUCUGAAAGUCAAAAUAAAGCUAUAAAAUAAUUAAGGUGUUUCAAGUGCAGUAAUUUGUUUGAAACUUACCGAGAUGAAGAAUUUUAUUUCACAUUAAAACACGUAUUGCAAAAUUAUAUACGUACUUUAGCACAAUAAUUAUAGAUGUAAUUAGAAUGAUGGUGGUAUUGUAUUCAAAUAAUAGCAAGUAAAAGUAGUAUUAGGUAUGUAUUAAUGAUGGAUAAAGUUUAAAUUGUUGGAUGUGUAUUUGAAGUGUAGAAGGUGAAGCUUAGCACUGACGACGAUCGCGAACUCGUGUGAGGGCUGCGAGCGACCAGGGUAGAAAAGGAAGCCGGCGUCGUGGCGGUCAGAAAAAGAAGAAGGAGAUACAAGGGAAAAAGAAGAAGAAUAAUAAUAAUAAGAAAUAAGAAGAAGAAGGAAACCAUUGGAGCCCUUGAAAGGAGAAUUGGAAAGUAUGCCGGCAAAAUUUAUGCGAGCGACCUUGACUACAUUUUUCCCCUUGACUUCUUGGAUACUCCGUGCUUUCCGUCUGGUUGAUUUCCAGCCAACCAAAUGUAAG